AUGGCUUUCCGAGAGGAGAGAUAUGUGAGGUUUCAUGACUGGAGGUCAGAGUAUUCUGUCGGUUCAGAUAAGAUAGUUUCAGAAGGAAGGCAUACUGCAUUUGACUCACUAAAGGAUAAGACUCUAGGAGCCUUCUCAUUCUUAGGGAACAGUUCACGCCCUGAAACCCUGAACAAAUCAACACCAGAGGAAAGGAAGGCCAAAACAAGAGUUCUUGAUCCUCAAGGGCCAUUUUUGCAAAGAUGGAACAAGAUAUUUGUGAUAUCAUGUCUAAUUGCAGUUUCUGUGGACCCACUAUUCUUUUAUAUCCCAGUGAUCGAUGGUGUCAAGAACUGCCUAUAUCUGGACAAAAAGUUGGCAACCAUUGCAAGUAUCCUGCGCUUCUUCACAGACAUCUUCUAUUUGCUCCAUAUAAUAUUUCAGUUCAGAACAGGAUUUGUUGCUCCUUCCAGAGUAUUUGGUCGAGGUGUCUUGGUUGAAGACACCUUUGCAAUAGCAAAGCGGUAUCUAACUACAUACUUUCUGAUUGAUUUUUUAGCUGUUAUGCCCCUCCCUCAGGUUUUUGUAUUGUUAGUGCUACCCCAUCUCAAAGAUUCCAAGGUUAUGGAGGCAAAAGAUAUACUGAUGGUUAUUGUUACAUGUCAGUACGUGCCUCGGCUCGUUCGAAUAAUACCACUCUACCUUCAAAUCACAAGGUCGGCUGGCAUAAUUACAGAGACCGCAUGGGCUGGUGCUGCUUUUAACCUUUUAAUUUAUAUGCUCGCUAGCCAUGUGUUUGGAGCCCUUUGGUACCUUCUUUCCAUUCAGCGAGAAGAUACCUGCUGGAGAAAAGAAUGUGGCAAGAUAAACUGUAACUUUGCAUCUUUAUAUUGCGGGAGUAAUACAGCUAGAGACAAUAUUUUCCUGCAAAAUGUCUGUCUGACAAAUGGCAGCGACGAUAUAGACCCAACCUUUGGAAUUUACCUACCGGCUCUCCGAACUGUUUCACAAUCGACGAGUUUCUUUGAGAAAUUUUUCUAUUGCUUUUGGUGGGGUCUGCAAAGUCUAAGCUCUCUUGGUCAAAAUCUGAAAACAAGCACUUACACAUGGGAGAAUUUGUUUGCUGUUUUUGUCUCGAUAUCGGGUUUAGUCUUAUUUGCCCUUCUUAUUGGUAAUGUGCAGACAUAUUUACAAUCAGCCUCUGUGCGGAUAGAAGAAAUGAGAGUGAAAAGACGUGACACAGAGCAAUGGAUGGCACAUCGAUUACUUCCUGAGAACCUCAAGGGGCGAAUAUUGCGUCAUGAGCAAUACAGAUGGCAGGAAACAAGAGGGGUUGAUGAAGAGGGCCUUCUUAUGAAUCUUCCCAAGGAUCUUAGGAGGGAGAUAAAACGACAUCUUUGUCUAUCACUUCUCAUGAGGGUUCCAAUGUUUGAAAACAUGGACGAGCAGCUCCUGGAUGCAAUGUGUGAUCGUCUAAAGCCCAUGCUGUACACUGAGGACAGCUGCAUAAUUCGAGAAGGAGACCCCGUGAAUGAAAUGCUUUUUGUUAUGAGAGGAUAUCUCGAGAGUAUGACGACAAAUGGUGGACAGAGCGGAUUCUUCAACUCCAAUGUUCUCAAAGGUGGAGACUUCUGCGGUGAAGAGCUCCUCACUUGGGCUCUUGACCCCGCUGCAGUUUCAAACCUUCCCAGCUCAACCAGAACAGUGAAGACAUUGUCUGAAGUUGAAGCCUUUGUUCUGAGGGCUGAUGACUUGAAGUUUGUAGCCACCCAGUUUAGGAAACUCCAUAGCAAACAGCUCCAGCAUACCUUUAGAUUCUACUCACAACAGUGGAGAACCUGGGCCGCUUGUUUUAUACAGGCAGCUUGGCACAGAUAUUGCAGAAAGAAGCUAGAGGAUUCUUUGUUUGAGAAGGAGAAGAGGUUACAAGCAGCUAUUGUAAGUGACGACUCUACCAAGCUCAGUCUGGGCGCGGCACUGUACGCCUCGCGUUUUGCUGGCAACAUGAUGCGGAUCUUACGGAGAAAUGCUACCCGAAAGGCCCGUUUGCAGGACAGGGUGCCUGCAAGGUUGUUACAGAAGCCGGCAGAACCCAACUUUUUUGCCAUUGGAGAGUAA
rnacentral:rRNA from 1 species